GGCAGGCCUUGAAACCAGCCUGAGAUCUCAGUACAACAAAGCCAGAGGAAAGGAAAGACGCCGGCCGGUGCAGGAUGAAAUCUGAGUUUGGGUGGAGGAAACCCACGAGAGCAGGACAGUCGGGAUGCAGCAGCAAGUAGCAUGGACCAAGUGAUGGAGUAGAAGAACUCGUGGCGUGAACUGUCAAAGGCGGAGCCACACUGGAUAAAAUUCUUGAUUCAAUCAGUCUGUGACGUCCUCCACAGUGUGCCAUGUUGUAGUGUAGCUUCUUCUGAUACAUUGAUUAGCUACUUAAACCAGUUAUGUUCAUGCUCUGUGUUUUAUUGUCCAUUUUUUGUGGGAGCGUUACAGCGCCACAUAAA